rnacentral:rRNA from 1 species
AUGCCGGGUGUCCCGAGGGAACUCGCUGAGCACACUCUUAAUAUCGAUCCAAAGUUCAAACCUGUCAGACAGUUUCUCCGAUGGUUCAAUGAAGAAAGGCGCAAGGCCAUCGGAGAAGAGGUGGCCCGGCUCUUGGCAGCCAGGUUCAUUUUGGAGGUCUUUCACCCAGAAUGGUUAGCUAACCCGGUCCUUGUACUAAAAAAGAAUGGCACCUGGUGUAUGUGUGUGGAUUACACAGAUUUGAACAAGGCUUGUCUGGCUGAUCCUUUUGCUCUCCCCUGUAUUGACCAGAUCAUUGAUGCUACGGCGGGUUGCGCUCGCUUGAGUUUCUUAGAUGCUUAUUCCGGUUAUCAUCAGAUUAAGAUGGCUGUCAAGGAUCAAGAGAAGACAACUUUUAUAACUCCUUUUGGAGCUUUCUGCUAUGUGUCUAUGCCUUUUGGGCUUAAGAGUGCCCAUGCGACUUACCAGCGGUGUGUGCAGAAUUGUCUUCACGAUCAAACUGGGCGCAAUGUUCAUGCUUAUGUGGAUGAUAUAGUGGUGAAAUCCAGGGAAGAGGAAACCUUGGUCACAGACCUGAAAGAGACUUUUGAUAAUCUUCGGGUUUACAAGAUGAUGCUUAACCCGGCCAAGUGUAUUUUUGGAGUGCCAGCCGGCAAGCUUUUGGGUUUUUUGGUGUCUAACCGAGGUAUUGAAGCUAACCCGGAGAAAAUCAAGGCAAUCACAUCUCUAGCCAAACCAACCUGCAUCAAUGAUGUUCAGCGACUGGCGGGUCGUGUGGCUGCUUUGAGCCGGUUCAUAAGCCGGUUAGGGGAAAAGGCUAUGCCUCUGUAUCAGUUGAUGAAGAAAACGGAUGUUUUUGUUUGGAGCGAUGCUGCGAACGCUGCUUUUGAGGAUCUGAAGGCACAGCUAGCUGAGCCACCGGUCUUGGCUGCUCCAAUUGAGAAAGAGCCGCUAUUGUUAUACGUAGCUGCCAACUCAUGGGCUGUUAGUGUGGCUAUUGUGGUAGAGUUCCAGGAGGUUGGCAAAGAGCAUCCAGUUCAGCGAUGGGUUUAUUAUGUCAGUGAAGUGCUAAUUGAGUCUAAACAACGAUAUCCACAUUGGUAG